rnacentral:rRNA from 1 species
ACUACGGGUGGCAGCAGUGGGGAAUAUUGGGCAAUGGGCGCAAGUCUGACCCAGCAACGCCGCGUGAAGGAAGAAGGCUUUCGGGUUGUAAACUUCUUUUAUUGAGGACGAAACAAAUGACGGUAAUCAAUGAACAAGCCACGGCUAACUACGUGCCAGGAGCCGCGGUAAUACGUAGGUGGCAAGCGUUUUCCGGAUUUACGGGGAGUAAAGGCCGGGUAGGCGGGACGGAAAGUCAGAGGGGAAAACCAUGGGCUAAACCCGUGGCCUGCAUUUGAAACUGGGGUUCUGGUGUGAUGGAGGGGCAGGCGGAAUUCCGUGUGUAGCGGGGAAAGGCGUAGAUAUACGGGGGAACACCAGUGGCGAAGGCGGCCUGCUGGACAUUAACUGACGCUGAGGCGCGAAAGCGUGGGAGGCAAACAGGAUUAGAUACCCUGUAGUC